UACGAAGGGGGCUAGCGUUGUUCGGAUUUACUGGGCGUAAAGCGCACGUAGGCGGUUUGUUAAGUCGGAGGUGAAAUCCCGGAGCUCAACUCCGGAACUGCCUUUGAUACUGGCAAGCUAGAGUCCGGAAGAGGUGAGUGGAACUCCUAGUGUAGAGGUGGAAUUCGUAGAUAUUAGGAAGAACACCAGUGGCGAAGGCGGCUCACUGGUCCGGUACUGACGCUGAGGUGCGAAAGCGUGGGGAGCAAACAGG
rnacentral:rRNA from 1 species